AUUCGGAGGAGAAAUAGGCAGUGUCUGCGUCGACCCGGUCUACGCAACGCCCAGCGUUGGGUAGACCCAGAAUUCUGAUUGGCUAUUAAGAAAAAGUCACGUGUCUAUAUAAAUUGAGUGAAUUAUUUUGUUAAGGUUAUUUAUAUAAAUUUUAAAUUAGUAGAAAUGAAAUUAUAUUAGAUAUAUGCAAUGCAUUCUGAGAUAAUUAUUAUGUGUAAUGUCACGUGUUACAUUUGAUGAGGGGCGGGAGAAUCCCUUCGGUUUCCCGCGUUUUGACCGUUGUUUACUUUCUUUGGCUCCUGAUCCUGCAACCUUCGCAAGUCCACCUCCAUCUGUCGUGAACCCUCGUUUCUGAGCGUUGAUCUUCCCUUCUUGGUGUCUUGUUGAUUUUUUUCACGUAUGUAUUUCUUUCGCGAGAUUCCGAUUGCCUUUGUAUUUAGCCCAAAACUCGGGUGUACCACGUGCUUUGAUAUCUGGGGGUUCCGUGACUGGGACAACUGGGGUUUCUUGUGGAAAGACCUUAGGCAUUUUCCUAUUGAAACCAGACGUGGCUGUCGAGAUUCAGUCGAUUCGUUCUUUAGCGGCGAUUAAGCGUCUGUUCGUCAUGACUGCUGGAUUGACGGUCAUCCUCCCGAGGCAAAGCAGCCCGCAGUGGACGUGCCGAGGUUCUGCGGGAAAGAACAAGGAUGCCCGGGAGACGAACACUUUCUGCAGGAGCCACAAGGCAGGCCAUGGUUUCAUCGAACAGCCGGGAGUGGAGCGGGAUGCUGAAGGAUAGCGGCGCUCACUUCAGUGAGCCCAGCUUGAACCCCACCAUUGGCGUCCUGGGCACCACUCUGAAUAAGCUGCUUCAGUUGUGACUUGUAGCACAAAGUUCCUGUCACCCAGUUCAUCGUCAUCUCGGAACCAAGGGCAUUGGUCCUGCCUGCUAGUUACCACUUGAAUAAAAGUUGGAAUGGUGCA
rnacentral:lncRNA from 1 species